GCGUCAAAACACCGGUUCUCAUACGAUCACCGAAGUUAAGCAUAGGCCUCAGCCUAGUAAGUCUCGAUGGAUGACCGCUUAGGAAUACCAGGUGCUGUCA